rnacentral:rRNA from 1 species
UACGUAGGCAGCAAGCGUUGUUCGGAGUUACUGGGCGUAAAGGGUGUGUAGGCGGUUCUUUAAGUUUGGUGUGAAAUCUCCCGGCUCAACUGGAAGGGUGCGCCGAAUACUGAGGGACUAGAGUACGGGAGAGGAAAGUGGAAUUCCUGGUGUAGCGGUGAAAUGCGUAGAUAUCAGGAGGAACACCGGCGGUGUAGACGGCUUUCUGGACCGUAGCUGACGCUGAGACACGAAAGCGUGGGUAGCAAACAGG